GACAGAGGGGGCAAGCGCUGCUCGGAAUCACUGGGCGUAAAGGGCGCGUAGGCGGGAUGGCAAGUCAGUCGUGAAAUCUCUCGGCUCAACCGAGAAACGUCGGCUGAUACUGCCGUUCUUGAGGGAUGCAGAGGAGACUGGAAUUCCCGGUGUAGCGGUGAAAUGUGUAGAGAUCGGGAGGAACACCGGUGGCGAAGGCGGGGUCUCUGGGCAUCUCCUGACGCUGAGGCGCGAAAGCGUGGGGAGCAAACGGG
rnacentral:rRNA from 1 species